CUGAGGUUAUAAAUGCGCGCGCUGUGCGAGCUCGGUCUCUCUCGCGCUACAGGAGACAGGAGAGCCAUGGCGUCGUGCGCGGUGCAGCUGAUCGAGAAAGUGACGAGGAAGAAGGUUGAAAAACAGAAAGUCGAAACGCACAUUUUGAAGGGCCCUUGUACGAAGCACCCUUUACAAAACAGAUGGGGGCUUUGGUUCUACAAAAAUGAUAAGAG